UACGAAGGGGGCUAGCGUUGUUCGGAUUUACUGGGCGUAAAGCGCACGUAGGCGGAUCUUUAAGUCAGGGGUGAAAUCCUGGAGCUCAACUCCAGAACUGCCUUUGAUACUGAAGAUCUUGAGUUCGGGAGAGGUGAGUGGAACUGCGAGUGUAGAGGUGAAAUUCGUAGAUAUUCGCAAGAACACCAGUGGCGAAGGCGGCUCACUGGCCCGAUACUGACGCUGAGGCACGAAAGCGUGGGGAGCAAACAGG
rnacentral:rRNA from 1 species